rnacentral:rRNA from 1 species
GACGAACGCUGGCGGCGUGCUUAACACAUGCAAGUCGAACGGAAAGGCCCUGCUUUUGUGGGGUGCUCGAGUGGCGAACGGGUGAGUAACACGUGAGUAACCUGCCCUUGACUUUGGGAUAACUUCAGGAAACUGGGGCUAAUACCGGAUAGGAGCUCCUGCUGCAUGGUGGGGGUUGGAAAGUUUCGGCGGUUGGGGAUGGACUCGCGGCUUAUCAGCUUGUUGGUGGGGUAGUGGCUUACCAAGGCUUUGACGGGUAGCCGGCCUGAGAGGGUGACCGGCCACAUUGGGACUGAGAUACGGCCCAGACUCCUACGGGAGGCAGCAGUGGGGAAUAUUGCACGAUGGGCGGAAGCAUGAUGCAGCAACGCCGCGUGCGGGAUGACGGCCUUCGGGUUGUAAACCGCUUUCGCCUGUGACGAAGCGUGAGUGACGGUAAUGGGUAAAGAAGCACCGGCUAACUACGUG